UCUUUCCCAAUGGCUUUAGUCGGAUUGCUAGGGGGACCAAGGUAAUACCUAUAAAGGUAGCCAGGUUCAAAUUAAUAAUGUCGAUUGCACGGAAAUGACUUAAAUUAUUCUUCACUAUUUCACUUUAACACUUAAAUAAUAGUGGCUUUGAAUAAUUUCUGUCACCACCAAGGUGUAGAAUUAUUGCUCAUUUUCAUCUGCAGACUGAAAAGGCUUCUCUUCAGUUUGCACCUGGCAAGUAGAUUAUUGGAUUUUGCAAAUAUAAAAGAAUGCCAUCUGCAUAUGAAGUUAUUUUAUGGGAAGCAUCUAAAAUUUGCAUUCCGGUACUGUUUUUGUUUUGGCUGAUGCAGCAAGGGGUUCUAAAAAUAUGGCGGAUGAGGCUGGAGAGAGUGAAGAUCUGUGAUUUGUGGCUCGCUGCAGUGUGAAGCAUUAUGACGAGAGACCAUCAGCGGCUGGGGGAUGCUGUGAGUCAAACAGGAUUUCAGUCCAUUGAAUAAAUGAAAACCAAUAUCUGAAACUGAACUUCAGCAUAGUGAAUAAAAAGUUCCAGUUGACACUGUCAAAAUGCUUUUGGUGUUGUGAUGCAAUGACUUAUUCAGAUUGUAAUUUUUUUUUUUUGGGGGGGAGGGGCUUAUUAGACUGAUUGUUUAAAUGCAGGUUAUUUGUGUGGAGUGUCUGCCUUUGAUGAAGCUUGUUAUGCCUGGGUGAAUUAGAUGUGUGAUUACCAGUUCCGUUCUGUUGGCUGGUGCAUUACUGGUGAUGUUAUGUCACAGUUGAUCAAACUUAUGGGGUGGUAAUUGUAGCAGAGGGUUGGAUCCUCAUUAGCUUUAAUCAGAAUCACAAUGAGUGCAGCAUUUCUAUGUGUUUGAAUAGAUGAGGAUGUCUUUAAUUUCAGUGGUCAACAACAGGGCUAAUAAUUGCCCAAGUGCUAAUAGAAUGUAGAAUGUAAUGUAGUGUGUUUUUCUGUUCAUCGGAUAGUUUGGAGAGGUCAAUAUUGUCCAUAAAUGACCAAUAACUGAUGGGCUGGGCUUAUAAUGAAUUAUGUAGGAAGCAAAGGGAAUCUUAGGCAAACUAAUGAAAGGCAAAUUAACAUGUUUUUUUCUACUGGUGAAGGCUUGUCACUGUCUGUUUUCUGGACUCUUAGGUAAGUAUAAUAAAAAAGAAACUGCAACCUUGGUAAAAAAAAAAUAACAUAAAAUAAGCAUGCGGCGCUGGUUUAAGAGGCCUAUGUUUUGUAGGGACAACAUUGAACCCGUGCCUGCAGCAGAAAUAACGGGAAGGAGUCUUUGCUGUAGAAACUUACACAGCAGAAUUUUAGUAAAAGCAGCUUAAUGCAGUUGAGGUUUCUACUACAAUCAUCCAUCUUCUCAAUAUGAUGGCUGCAGGUGCCAUAUUUCUGAGGGAUCUGACUGUGCAGAAUAUAGAAACAGGAUGGUUCAGGAUGCUGUGGCAUUAACAUUUACUGGGAUUUCAUCAUGAUGCUGAAUUUCCUGCCAGAUGUAGGUCCCACUCAGCAGAAUAAAUAGACAGGGAAACAACAACAAACCUUUCCCCACUGUGGCGAGAAGUGCCGGGGCAGGACCGUAGAGGAGGACUACAGGACCCCGUAAUUACAACAACUGGAGUCUGAAUGCAAACUACGCAAAUCUCCGGCUUCUCUCCUGGUUCAGGGGUACUCCACAGGCAGAUACGAUCACCUCCAGAGCAGGGUUCUGCGCUGUUUGUGUUGUUUUUGCCGUCCUGCCCGGCGCUAACAUGCAGAUUUGAGAUGCCGAUCUCGUCGGGAGCGGCAGGGCGAGUGGGGGUGGGGGUAAACGCCUCCAUAACAUGGAGCCCCGAGGGAUGGAAGCAGGACCCCAAUCUGCCCCCCAGGGACUGCGAUUCCUAUCUGGUGAGAUACUUAGAAACGCACCCGGAGGCGAGGAGAAGAGGCAACACUGACACUUCAGUGGUCACCCGUGAUCACACGAGUGACCAGAGACCAAAGGGCAAGAACAGGACCGGUUUCUCAAAAGCCCUAAAUGGAGAAACUGAUGCACAGCGACAACAGGAGAGCCAAGAUGGCAACGCCACUGGAACCCAGUGCAGCGGACCCACUUCUAACAAAUCUUCCAUGUGUGCGAUCCUAUAAAAAAAUCAUCCUCACAUAACCCUGGCCAUAUACACCGGCAGCCUCUCUAUAUCCUGCAGUGCAUCAAUCACACAGAGUGCCACAGAUUAUCUUUGCAGUAUGAAAGUUGUGAGGACCAGUGGUGGACUGUUAUACCACAGCUCCCCAGCUGAUGCCUGUGUGUGUGUGUGUGUGUGUGUGUGCAACAGAAGCAGCAUUUCUUAAAUACCUGAAUAUUCAAGGAAAUCAGAUAUUUGUGUAAAUCGUUUGAUUCAGUAUUUGAAUUAUGCUUUCACUGGUUUUGUGUAAUUGUGUUCUAUUAAGUAUUGUGUAAGACAGUAUUCUACUGAAGUUCUAUAUAUAGAACAGCCAUUAAACUGUAUUUGCAUAUGAACAUAAUGGAGUCUUUGGUGUUAAUGGCAUUUGAUCGUCACUUUGUUCUUGAGAAACCGUUUCCAGCCAUUUCACACAAACCCACUGCAAGAGCCGACUGCAAUUUUCCUGUCACUGAUGAAAGAAAAUGGAGUGAGAACCUGAACUCAGCGAGAGUGCA